rnacentral:rRNA from 1 species
UGGGGAAUAUUGCACAAUGGGCGCAAGCCUGAUGCAGCCAUGCCGCGUGUGUGAAGAAGGCCUUCGGGUUGUAAAGCACUUUCAGCGGGGAGGAAGGCGGUGAGGUUAAUAACCUCAUCGAUUGACGUUACCGACAGAAGAAGCACCGGCUAACUCCGUGCCAGCAGCCGCGGUAAUACGGAGGGUGCAAGCGUUAAUCGGAAUUACUGGGCGUAAAGCGCACGCAGGCGGUUGAUUGAGUCAGAUGUGAAAUCCCCGGGCUCAACCUGGGAACUGCAUCUGAUACUGGCAAGCUUGAGUCUCGUAGAGGGGGGUAGAAUUCCAGGUGUAGCGGUGAAAUGCGUAGAGAUCUGGAGGAAUACCGGUGGCGAAGGCGGCCCCCUGGACGAAGACUGACGCUCAGGUGCGAAAGCGUGGGGAGCAAACAGG